GGCGUAACGUUGUGGUUGUUCCCUCGACUGACCGAGAAAAACAAGUUCCAGAGGCAUCUUCCAUUCAUAUCGAUUUGGGUUUUUCCGCACCAUAUUUUGAUCUGCCUCUUCUUCGAUCCGGAAUUCCCAGCAAAUCCUUGACUCCUCGAAUACAAUGGAAUUUCACACCUGGCAAAUCCUUUACUCUACCUCCUCUUAUUAACACCAUAGAAUGUUCCUGCAAAUUAUGACCUUCGCCUGGAAUGUAAGCAAAUAUAUCAUGUCGAUUGCUCAACCGUACUUUGGCUAUCUUAC
rnacentral:misc_RNA from 1 species